GAUGAAGAACGUAGCGAAAUGCGAUAAGUAAUGUGAAUUGCAGAAUUCAGUGAAUCAUCGAAUCUUUGAACGCACCUUGCGCUCUUUGGUAUUCCGAAGAGCAUGCCUGUUUGAGUGUCAUGAAAAUAUCAACCUUGACUUGGGUUUUGUGCUCUAGUCUCGGCUUGGAAUUGGGUGCUUGCCGCUUUUACGAGCGGCUCACCUUAAAUGUAUUAGCUGGAUCUGUCUUUGAGACUUGGUUUGACUUGGCGUAAUAAGUAUUUCGCUAAGGACAUUCUUCGGAGUGGCCUCGUUUCUAGGACGCUUGUCCGCUUUCCAAUACAAGUUCCACCUCGUGGACAUGACUUUUUAUUAUCUGGCCUCAAAUCAGGGAGGACUACCCGCUGAACUUAAGCAUAUCAAUAAGCGGAGGA
rnacentral:misc_RNA from 1 species